UACAGAGGGGGCAAGCGUUGUUCGGAAUUACUGGGCGUAAAGGGCGCGUAGGCGGCCUGUUAAGUCGAACGUGAAAUCCCCGGGCUCAACCCGGGAACUGCGUCCGAUACUGGCAGGCUUGAAUCCGGGAGAGGGAUGCGGAAUUCCAGGUGUAGCGGUGAAAUGCGUAGAUAUCUGGAGGAACACCGGUGGCGAAGGCGGCAUCCUGGACCGGCAUUGACGCUGAGGCGCGAAAGCCAGGGGAGCUAACGGG
rnacentral:rRNA from 1 species